rnacentral:lncRNA from 1 species
CCACCAUGCCAUCCUAUUUUCACUUAAAAAUACAAACAUUUUAUUGCUUCAGUGAACUGAAAUGUGAUAAUAGGAAUCUGUUAGUGCAUGCCAGCUAGUAACCUAAGGCUUCCAUGUGUUAUAUUUGUGGUCAUCACAAAUCCCCACACUGUUAUGAAUCCCAUUUUACAGAUGAAGAAACUGAAAUACAGACAUUCAGUUUCUUGCCCAUAGUCACUUACAGUAAAUAGGGAUUCCUGGACUCAAACUCAGGCAGUCCAGAGCCUCCCUCAUAAUUACCAGGUUAUCCUACCUCUCUGGAAGCUGCUGACAAAUAUUAACUGCUUCAGUCAGUAAAACUGCAACCAUUUUCAUGCAUUUGCCUACUCGAGUUGCUGUGACUAAGUACCACAGAGGGGGAGGCUUCAACAACAGAUGUUUAUGGUCCAAGACCAAGUUUCCAUCUGAUUUGGUUCCUGGUGAGACCACCUUCCGCGGCUUGCAGGUGGCUGCCUUCUUGCUGUGGCCUCACAUGGCCUUUUCUCAGUGUAUGCACUAGAAGAGGGAGAAAAAUGUCUGUCUCUCUUCUUAGAAGGCCACCAAGCCUGUAGGAUUAGGACUCCACUCUUAUUACCCCCCUUGACCUUCAUUAUCCUCCUAAAGCCCGAUCUCCAAAACCAGUCAGACUGGGGAUGAAAAUUUCGAUAUAUGUAUUUUAAAGAGAAACAAUUCAGUCCAGAGUGUAUCAACAAACAGUAAAAACACAAUUAAUGGAUGUUUUAUAGCCUUUAUCAUUUUACGUGUUUUAGAUUUCCAAAGAGUUGCAACUUCUUCCGUCACAGUGUGUAUUGAUUUCCCAUUGCUUCCAUGACAAAGAAGACGGAGUUGCCAUGUUCAACAUGCCCAGCCCGUAGGAAGUGCCUUUUGCCCUUCACCAUGGUUGUGAGACCUUCCCCAGCUAUGUGGAACUGUAAGUUCAAUUAAACCUUUUUGUU